CUGACUGCUAUCGGAUUGGUACUAAGCCAUGCGAGUCGUUGUAGCAAUACAAGGCGGACGGCUCAGUAACACGUAGUCAACCUAACCUAUGGACGUGGAUAACCUCGGGAAACUGAGAAUAAACCGCGAUAGAUCAUAAUGCCUGGAAUGGCUUAUGGUUAAAAUAAUUUAUUGCCGUAGGAUGGGACUGCGGCCUAUCAGCUUGUUGGUGAGGUAAUGGCCCACCAAGGCUAUAACAGGUACGGGCUCUGAGAGGAGAAGCCCGGAGAUGGGUACUGAGACACGGACCCAGGCCCUAUGGGGCGCAGCAGGCGAGAAACCUUAGCAAUGUGCGAAAGCACGACUAGGUUAAUCCGAGUGAUUUCUGUUGAAGAAAUCUUUUGUCAGUCGUAAAGCCACAGACGAAUAAGGGGUGGGCAAGUCUGGUGUCAGCCGCCGCGGUAAUACCAGCACCUCGAGUGGUCAGGAGGUUUAUUGGGCCUAAAGCAUCCGUAGCCGGCUAUGCAAGUCUCCGGUUAAAUCCAACUGCUCAACAGAUGGGCUGCCGGAGAUACUACACAGCUAGGGAGCGGGAGAGGUAGACGGUAUUCUGUGGGUAGGGGUAAAAUCCACUGAUCCAUAGAGGACCACCAGUGGCGAAGGCGGUCUACCAGAACGCGUUCGACGGUGAGGGAUGAAAGCUGGGGGAGCAAACCGGAUUAGAUACCCGGGUAGUCCCAGCUGUAAACGAUGCAAACUCGGUGAUGCAUUGACUUAUGGUCAAUGCAGUGCCGCAGGGAAGCCGUUAAGUUUGCCGCCUGGGAAGUACGGACGCAAGUCUGAAACUUAAAGGAAUUGGCGGGGGAGCACCACAAGGGGUGAAGCCUGCGGCUCAAUUGGAGUCAACGCCGGGAA
rnacentral:rRNA from 1 species